CAUGCAAGUCGAACGAGAAAGUCACUUCGGUGGCGAGUACAGUGGCGCACGGGUGAGUAACGCGUAGAUGAUCUACCCUUCAGUCUGGGACAACUCUUGGAAACGGGAGCUAAUACCGGAUAAAACCUUCGGGUUGAAAGAUUUAUCGCUGGGGGAUGAGUCUGCGUACCAUUAGCUUGUUGGUGGGGUAACGGCCUACCAAGGCGACGAUGGUUAGCGGGUCUGAGAGGACGAUCCGCCACACUGGAACUGAGACACGGUCCAGACUCCUACGGGAGGCAGCAGUAGGGAAUAUUGCGCAAUGGGGGCAACCCUGACGCAGCAAUGCCGCGUGAGUGAAGAAGGCCUUCGGGUCGUAAAGCUCUUUUAUGGGGGAAGAUGAUGACGGUACCCCAUGAAUAAGCACCGGCUAACUACGUGCCAGCAGCCGCGGUAAUACGUACGGUGCGAGCGUUGUUCGGAAUUACUGGGCGUAAAGGGCGUGCAGGCGGAUUGGCAAGCCGGAGGUGAAAGCCCGGGGCUCACCCCGGAGGGUCUUUCGGGAACUGCCAGUCUUGAAAGGGUCAGGGCCARCGGAAUUCCUGGUGUAGAGGUGAAAUC
rnacentral:rRNA from 1 species